UUUUUUUUUUGCUUUUCAGGGCUGCACCUGUGGUAGAAUCUUGAAUUGGAGCUGCAGCUGCCAGCCACAGCCACAGCAACAUGGAUCUGAGCCUCAUCUGUGACUUACACCAUAGCUCACAACAAUGCUGGAUCCUUAACCUACUGAUCAAGGCCAGGGAUUGAACCCACAUCCUCAUGGAUACUAGUUGGGUUCAUUACUACUGAGCCACAAUGGGAACACCUCUGCCACAGUUCUACAGCCUGCCUCACAAUCUUCCCCAAGUCUUAGAACCUCAAAACACGUGACUGAGCCCCACCUGUCCCUACCUGCCCCUUUCUGCCCAGAUGCUCUGGCCAGACACAAAUGCCACCUGCUGCUGGCUCAAAGACAGAAGAGGAGUUUUCCCUAUGCCUGUCAUGAGGCCCAUGCCCCGAGUUGUAUUAAUGUUGGACCAGUUGUUAUUGCUGCUAUAACAAAUCCCUAGAAACUUAUUGGCCUAAAAUACUACAAAUUUAUUAUCUUAUGGUUCUGAAGGUCAGAACUCUAAAGUGGCUCUUACUAGACUAAAAAUCAAGGUGUCAGCAGCUCUGCCUUCCUUCUGAUGGCUCUAGAAGGGAACCCUUGCCUUGCCUUUUCCAGUAUCUAGAGGCGGCCCAUUCCUCAGCUUGUGGCCCUGCAUGGCUCUGACAUUUCCAUCCAUCGUCAGAGGUUUUCUCACUCUGACCCUCCUGCCUCCCUCUUGUGGUGCUCCUUGUGGUUAUAACAGACCCACUCAGAUAGCCCAGGAUAACCUCUCCAUCUCAAGAUCCUUAAUUUAGUCAUAUCUGCAAAGUCCCUUUUGCCAGGUAAAGUGACAUCAGCACAGGUUCUGAAGAUUGAGGGGUAGGCAUCAUGUUUUCUACCCAAGGUUAUAAUGUGCGCAUCCAUUAUGCUCCUGGGCUGAUAGAGGACGUAAAGGCAAGGGCUUUGAUGACUAGGCACACACUUGAAAAGCCCACCCUGCCCAGGAGCGGAGCCCAGGCUGAUCCUGGACUGAGAGUCGAGUGAGCAGGAGACCCAGGGGAGGAGGGUGGUGGGUUGUGUCUGUGUACAAGCACUUGUGUUCACAUGCAUAGACGUGGGUCAGAGAAGCGGUUAUCUGAGGCUCUGAAGGCAGGAAGUGCAGAAAACAGCAACCCAGAGAGAGAGCAAGAAGGCUGCUUGGCAGCAUCUUCUCUUAAAAUGGUAUAAGAAUAUGCAUCUCAAAUUCCCAAGACUCCUCAUUGCAGAAUUCAUUUCUCCAUGGAAGCCCAAGAACUCAAGAGCUUUGCUGUUCUCAUUUCAGAAACAGAGGGCUGAGGAGAACAAAUUGCCUUCUGCUGUCUCAGGCCCUACUACCAUCUGGCUGCAUCAAGGGGCAGACAUAGCUGGCUGUGCCCACAGUAGCCUGACCCGGGUCCUCUGAAGAAGGAUUUGCUGCUGAGCCCCUGAACGCCUGGGCCCUUUUCAAACAGGCUCUUCUGCCUCUGCCCCGUGUGAAACAACUCUCUUUAAGCACACAGCUGGGAAAGGCCCUGCAGGGGUGUUCUGGACCUGGUGUCUGCGCCCCCAUAAACCACUAAAUCCCACAGACACAAGGAGAUGCCCAGGGAGGCCCCCAGGGGCCUGGCAGGAGGGGGCCCAAGGACCCCAGUGCAAGAGGGGAGCGUGGGCAUCUCAGAGAGAAGGGUGUCAGGCGCCAUGAGGCACAACUCCAGGAGGCACCACUGAUAUUGAGGACAGCCUGCAGGGAUAGGAGAGGUCUCCGCGAAGCCCACACACCACAGCUCUUCCAGAGCCACCUGGCUGGGCUCCAGAGCAGGCGGGGUCCCCAGGCACUCACUCUGGAAGGGCAGCUGCAGGCUUCUCUGCCGCCCGGAGGUACCGGGUCCACCCAGCACUUGUACUGCAAAACAAAGACCCUUCCCAGGGCUGUGGUUUUCAAUAGUCCUUCCAAGAAAGCAUCCAAACAACCCAGCUGACAGCCUAACCCCACCUGGGAGCCUGCAGGAUGGAGGGGAGAAAAUCUUCAUUCUGUACCAAAUGAUGGUAAAUGUAUCAUAUUUCAUUUGCAAGAACUGGAGUUGGUUUUCCUGUUGCUGACUUCUUCACACUUAUUUCCUCCAUUUACCUCCUAGCUUCCUAUCAGUGUUAUUUCUUACAUAUCCUUCCCUCUCUGUCUUCCCUUCUCUUUUUUUCCAUUCCUCAUAUUCCAUGAUUUCCUCUCAACUCCCAGAAAUACCUCUCCUCUCAAGAGAUUGACUUCUAUUUCCAAACCAUCCCCUAAAUACUUGUUUUAAUAAGCUCCUAACGCUGAUCUUCUUACAAAUCAUUCUUUGCCAUUUUGCAAUUGAACCAGUGUCUUGGUUAAAAUGAAAAUUCCCCAGGGCACACAAUAAAUAAUAAAAAAAAGAAUAACAUAAUAGAGAGGGUUAUGAUUCUGAACAGAAGGAAAUAAUGGGAAGCAGUUUAGACUAUGUUUCGUGAAUUUUAUGCUCAAAAUGCAAAACCAAGGAGAAAGUGGUGGGCAGGGGCCUAGCACCCCAAGCCCUGGGCCCUUCUGAACACUGAGUGGAAGCAUGCAUCGAGGGGACUGAUCUUGUGAAAUUAAACAUCUCUUCUCACAAAGACCUGCCCUUUGCAAGAUGCCAGGGUCAUUUUUGGAGAAGGAAGGAACUCAGUGUAAAAGAAGGCUUGUGUGCUAUUAACAGAUCCUCGGUGCCAGGCUCCCUACCACACAGCAGGCUUCCAAAGGACAAAAGCAGAGCAUCCCCUUCUCCCCUGGGCCUUGCAGGUUUAUGGUGCCAGGAUUAAGAAGCAGCAGAUUUUGAUGGUGACAUAGGCAUGAUCUCAAAUUACAGCCACUGCGCCUAUUGUUGCGAGGUUGAAAUGAUAUCAUCCCUCUAGAGACUGAGCCUGGCGCUGGACACAGAGUGGGCACUCCAUUUGGGGUGACACUGUUUGGAAAAUUAAUAAGCUUCACACACUAAAAAGUAAAAUCCUAUGGAGCCUGAGGGCAAGACUCUGGGCUGGAUGAUAAAUUGAGGAGUACAGGGCAUUCCUUAGGACCCUAGACACUGUGGCUAAAGCAAGGCAUGGAAACCCCAAUACAAGGUCUAACCUGGUAUCCUGGCCCCAUAGGCAGUGAGGCUUCCCUGCAGGACUGGGCACACCCACCCAGCCCUGGGAGAACACUUCGUCCCAACACUGCUAUUCUGGUAUCUAAUGUGGUUCCAUUUCAUAGCCGGAAAGCUGAGGCCCAGAGGAAUGUGACUGGCCCAAGGCCCUUCAAGGAGGCCAGAGCAGCAAGAGACAGCAGACCUCCACCCAUUGUCUGGACAAAGUGAACACAUCUGUGGCCACAGGGCGGCAGGAGCCCCCUGGAUGAAGCUGAGCUAUUGUUGCACAAGUAGCAAGAAGGCCUGGCCCCGCUGAGCCCACAGAACAUGGAUGGGAGUGCUCCCCAAGUGGUGGCGACUUUUUAUCCCAGUCAUGUGGGGGUUCAGCACAGAUUGCCAUGGCAGGAGGCAGGAGGGAGUGGGAAAAGCUGCGCCCUGGCUGCCCACGAGCCAGCUAUGGGCCUGAGGUAAGUUCUUUCUGCUCAUCCAGGCCUGUUUCCCUGGGAUUGGCUUGGGUUAGAACCAGAGGUUUCAGACACAGACUUGGCUGGUGGGUGGUGCCUGCCUUGUCUCGCUCCCUUCCUCCAUCCUUCUCUUUUUUCUCUUCCUUCCUUGGCCCUUGGAUACCCUUAAAAGACUGGCUUGCCUUCUCCAGUCCAUACCAGGUUCUGCCAUCCCAAACUGACUCACUCGCAUCACUGUCACUCUCCACUGUCUGCCUGAGCCCAAACACAUAUAAUUUGCAACCUCAGACAAGAUUUCCUAAGACCUUGCUACUCUCAAUGCAGUCCAUAGACCUGUGGCACUGGCAUUUCCUGGCAUCUUCUUGGACAUACAGAAUCCCAGGCUCCCCUUCAGACCUGCUGAAACAGUCUGCAUUAUUUUGUACUUGCCACACCCAUGUCAUAUGGAAUUUCCCAGGCCAGGGAUUGAAUCUGAGCCACAGCUGCAACCUACACCGCAGCUGCAACAAUGCCAGAUCCUUUUAACCCCCUGUGCCAAGCCAGGGAGUGAACCCACGCCUCCACAGCAACCUGAGCCACUGAAGCCAGAUCCUUAACCCACAGUGCCACAGUGGGAACUCCCAGAGUCUGCAUCUUAACAGACUCUUGUGUGGGCUGGUCCAGAGGACCCCCUCCGAGAUCCUUGGCAGCCCAGUCAUGCCCUCUCUGCCCCUCAGAGCACACUGUGUAACCCCUCCAUGCUUGACCCCCCAUAGGGUUGUUCUGGGUCCAAGCAUUGCUGAGUUUCCACUGGAGAAUAAGAACAAGUUCAGGAAUUCUGUCACACUGAUGAUCUUAGAUUGGUCUUCAUCCUUUUCGGAUUCAGUGCCUCAAAGAUGGGCCGUUCAGUUUGUACUGUUGUCACAGGCUUGGUGCCCUCAUGGAAAACUGGUGAAGCUGGAGAGAAAUGCAGACGUGGCAAAUUUUAAUCCUGCCGAAACAUAAUCAGCUUUUGCUUCUGCAGCAAUUAGCAUAAUAUUACCGAUAAUGUUUUACAUGGCAAUUUUGCUGUAAACAUUUGUGCUAAUUUGCCAUGACCUAAUUAUUUUAUGACAUCUAAUUACAAAGUGUUUUUCAAGUCGAAAUAUUUUUGUUUUAUGUUUCUAUAAUCCUUUUCUAGGAAAAAAAAUUUAGAAAUCAGCACACCCACAACUUGAAACACACAGUUCUCUCUUAGCUGUUGUUUGUGACACUUUACUUUGCUAAGCAGGAGGAAUUCCCCAGUGCUGGAGUGCCCAGGAGCCUGCAUUCACUCGUGACUAAUUUGAAUUGGGCGUCACUGAAACUGCCUGCUCCAUUAUUACACUGCGAGAUUGUCAGCUCCACGCUCCCAGCCUCCUGCCAACACCCACUCACUCCCAGACACACAAACAGUCUGAGUCGGGCAGCGGGAAGGUGGCGAUUGCUUGAGAUGAAGAGAAAGGGGCUGGGUUCCUUUUGAAUAAAUGCGAAAGCUUUAGCUGAAAAGAGAGCUUGAACAUCACAUUAUCGUCUAGCAGACAGGUUCUUCCCAGUGAGUUCUUCGCUGCCUCCCCAGGUCUACAGGAUGCUGAAGGGAACUGUCCCAGCCAUCCCCUGGGUGCUGGGUAGUGGGGAGUAGGGGGAU
rnacentral:lncRNA from 1 species